rnacentral:rRNA from 1 species
GAUGAACGCUGGCGGCGUGCCUAAUACAUGCAAGUCGAGCGAACGGACGAGAAGCUUGCUUCUCUGAUGUUAGCGGCGGACGGGUGAGUAACACGUGGAUAACCUACCUAUAAGACUGGGAUAACUUCGGGAAACCGGCGCUAAUACCGGAUGAUAUUUUGAACCGCAUGGUUCAAAAGUGAAAGACGGUCUUGCUGUCACUUAUAGAUGGAUCCGCGCUGCAUUAGCUAGUUGGUAAGGUAACGGCUUACCAAGGCAACGAUGCAUAGACGACCUGAGAGGGUGAUCGGCCACACUGGAACUGAGACACGGUCCAGACUCCUACGGGAGGCAGCAGUAGGGAAUCUUACGCAAUGGGCGAAAGCCUGACGGAGCAACGCCGCGUGAGUGAUGAAGGUCUUCGGAUCGUAAAACUCUGUUAUUAGGGAAGAACAUAUGUGUAAGUAACUGUGCACAGCUUGACGGUACCUAAUCAGAAAGCCACGGCUAACUACGUG